rnacentral:rRNA from 1 species
AUUGAACGCUGGCGGCAUGCUUUACACAUGCAAGUCGAACGGCAGCGCGGGCUUCGGCCUGGCGGCGAGUGGCGAACGGGUGAGUAAUGCAUCGGAACGUGCCCAGUAGUGGGGGAUAGCCCGGCGAAAGCCGGAUUAAUACCGCAUACGACCUGAGGGUGAAAGCGGGGGACCGAAAGGCCUCGCGCUAUUGGAGCGGCCGAUGUCGGAUUAGCUAGUUGGUGGGGUAAAGGCUUACCAAGGCGACGAUCCGUAGCUGGUCUGAGAGGACGACCAGCCACACGGGGACUGAGACACGCCCCAGACCCCUAGGGGAGGCAGCAGUGGGGAAUUUUGGAAAAUGGGGGCAACCCUGAUCCAGCCAUGCCGCGGGGGGGAAGAAGGCCUGCGGGUUGUAAACCGGUUUUGUUGGGGAAGAAAUCCUCUGGGCUAAUACCCCGGGGGGAGGACGGUACCGGAAGAAUGAGCACCGGCUAACCACGU